rnacentral:rRNA from 2 species
AAAUUGAAGAGUUUGAUCAUGGCUCAGAUUGAACGCUGGCGGCAGGCCUAACACAUGCAAGUCGAACGGUAACAGGAAGCAGCUUGCUGCUUUGCUGACGAGUGGCGGACGGGUGAGUAAUGUCUGGGAAACUGCCUGAUGGAGGGGGAUAACUACUGGAAACGGUAGCUAAUACCGCAUAAUGUCGCAAGACCAAAGAGGGGGACCUUCGGGCCUCUUGCCAUCGGAUGUGCCCAGAUGGGAUUAGCUAGUAGGUGGGGUAACGGCUCACCUAGGCGACGAUCCCUAGCUGGUCUGAGAGGAUGACCAGCCACACUGGAACUGAGACACGGUCCAGACUCCUACGGGAGGCAGCAGUGGGGAAUAUUGCACAAUGGGCGCAAGCCUGAUGCAGCCAUGCCGCGUGUAUGAAGAAGGCCUUCGGGUUGUAAAGUACUUUCAGCGGGGAGGAAGGCGAUAAGGUUAAUAACCUUGUCGAUUGACGUUACCCGCAGAAGAAGCACCGGCUAACUCCGUGCCAGCAGCCGCGGUAAUACGGAGGGUGCAAGCGUUAAUCGGAAUUACUGGGCGUAAAGCGCACGCAGGCGGUCUGUCAAGUCGGAUGUGAAAUCCCCGGGCUCAACCUGGGAACUGCAUUCGAAACUGGCAGGCUAGAGUCUUGUAGAGGGGGGUAGAAUUCCAGGUGUAGCGGUGAAAUGCGUAGAGAUCUGGAGGAAUACCGGUGGCGAAGGCGGCCCCCUGGACAAAGACUGACGCUCAGGUGCGAAAGCGUGGGGAGCAAACAGGAUUAGAUACCCUGGUAGUCCACGCCGUAAACGAUGUCGACUUGGAGGUUGUGCCCUUGAGGCGUGGCUUCCGGAGCUAACGCGUUAAGUCGACCGCCUGGGGAGUACGGCCGCAAGGUUAAAACUCAAAUGAAUUGACGGGGGCCCGCACAAGCGGUGGAGCAUGUGGUUUAAUUCGAUGCAACGCGAAGAACCUUACCUACUCUUGACAUCCAGAGAACUUUCCAGAGAUGGAUUGGUGCCUUCGGGAACUCUGAGACAGGUGCUGCAUGGCUGUCGUCAGCUCGUGUUGUGAAAUGUUGGGUUAAGUCCCGCAACGAGCGCAACCCUUAUCCUUUGUUGCCAGCGGUUAGGCCGGGAACUCAAAGGAGACUGCCAGUGAUAAACUGGAGGAAGGUGGGGAUGACGUCAAGUCAUCAUGGCCCUUACGAGUAGGGCUACACACGUGCUACAAUGGCGCAUACAAAGAGAAGCGACCUCGCGAGAGCAAGCGGACCUCAUAAAGUGCGUCGUAGUCCGGAUUGGAGUCUGCAACUCGACUCCAUGAAGUCGGAAUCGCUAGUAAUCGUGGAUCAGAAUGCCACGGUGAAUACGUUCCCGGGCCUUGUACACACCGCCCGUCACACCAUGGGAGUGGGUUGCAAAAGAAGUAGGUAGCUUAACCUUCGGGAGGGCGCUUACCACUUUGUGAUUCAUGACUGGGGUGAAGUCGUAACAAGGUAACCGUAGGGGAACCUGCGGUUGGAUCACCUCCUUA